AGAAACUGGAUGAGUAAACAAGGGAGAAAGGAAAUGCAACAUAUGAUAAGGACAGAUGAGGGGUGGGAAACCUUUGGAGCAAAAAUUGUCAUAUUCACCAAUUUUUUGAGUUGUGCACAACUUAAUUCCAUAUAAUAUUAUAAUAUUUAAGCAACAAUUAAUAUUAAAUCAAUGGGAAUAAACUUGAUGGAAAAACACACCACUCACAGGCUGCACUUGUGUCAAUAAAGGCCGAGAAAAUAAAUACAAAAUAAAGUGUGGAAAACAAAACUGAAGGCCAAACAUGGAAUUAAGACAGAUUUGAAAAAUCUUGAUUAUUAAAUUCAUUGUUCAGACCAAAAGACUGUAAAGUGUCCAAAAUAAGUAAAUGUUGUUAACAUCUACACUUGUAACCAUAGAACAAU